GGCUUCUUCAGACCACAGCCCUGACGGCCACACUGAAAAUGCAGACGAUGGUGGUGGAAUUAAUAACCUGGAUCAGGAGUCCUCUGACAGCAGAUCUGAAUGGGCACCUGAUGGUGAAGACAUUACAUGUGAGGAAAAGACACAUACUAGAGGGAGUCGAGGAC